rnacentral:rRNA from 1 species
UGGGGAAUCUUAGACAAUGGGGGAAACCCUGAUCUAGCCAUGCCGCGUGAUCGAUGAAGGCCUUAGGGUUGUAAAGAUCUUUCAGCUGGGAAGAUAAUGACUGUACCAGCAGAAGAAGCCCCGGCUAACUCCGUGCCAGCAGCCGCGGUAAUACGGAGGGGGCUAGCGUUGUUCGGAAUUACUGGGCGGAAAGCGCACGUAGGCGGAUCAGAAAGUCAGAGGUGAAAUCCCAGGGCUCAACCUUGGAACUGCCUUUGAAACUCCUGAUCUUGAGGUCGAGAGAGGUGAGUGGAAUUCCGAGUGUAGAGGUGAAAUUCGUAGAUAUUCGGAGGAACACCAGUGGCGAAGGCGGCUCACUGGCUCGAUACUGACGCUGAGGUGCGAAAGCGUGGGGAGCAAACA